rnacentral:rRNA from 1 species
UACGGGGGGGGCAAGCGUUGUUCGGAAUUACUGGGCGUAAAGGGCUCGUAGGCGGCCAACUAAGUCAUACGUGAAAUCCCUCGGCUUAACCGGGGAACUGCGUCUGAUACUGGAUGGCUUGAGUUCGGGAGAGGGAUGCGGAAUUCCAGGUGUAGCGGUGAAAUGCGUAGAUAUCGUAAGGAAGGCCGGUGGCGAAAGCGAGCCUCUGGACAGUUACUGACGCUGAUGCACGAAGGCCAGGGGAGCAAACGGG